AAAGUACUCCCUCCGUCCGGAAAUACUCAUCGAAGAAAUGGAUGUAUCUAGACAUAUUUUAGUUCUAGAUACAUCCACUUUUGUCAAUUUUUCCGACAAGUAUUUUAGGACGGAUGAAGUACUGU
rfam:Triticum aestivum genome assembly, contig: Triticum_aestivum_CS42_TGACv1_scaffold_330156_4BS